rnacentral:rRNA from 1 species
GACGAACGCUGGCGGCGUGCUUAACACAUGCAAGUCGAACGGAAAGGCCCUGCUUGCAGGGUACUCGAGUGGCGAACGGGUGAGUAACACGUGGGUGAUCUGCCCUGCACUUCGGGAUAAGCCUGGGAAACUGUGUCUAAUACCGGAUAGGAGCCAUUUUUAGUGUGAUGGUUGGAAAGUUUUUUCGGUGUAGGAUGAGCUCGCGGCCUAUCAGCUUGUUGGUGGGGUAAUGGCCUACCAAGGCGGCGACGGGUAGCCGGCCUGAGAGGGUGGACGGCCACAUUUGGACUGGGGAACGGGCCAGACUCCCACGGGGGGGAGGAGUUGGGGAGAUUGGAACAUGGGCGGAAGCCUGAUGGAAGGAAGCCGGGUGGGGGAUGACGGCCUUCGGGUUGUAAACUCCUUUCGCUAGGGACGAAGCUUUUUGUGACGGUACCUAGAUAAGAAGCACCGGCUAACUACGUG